CAGCCGCCGCGGGAAUACGUAGGGUGCAAGCGUUAAUCGGAAUUACUGGGCGUAAAGCGUGCGUAGGCGGCUUCUUAAGUCGGAUGUGAAAUCCCUGAGCUUAACUUAGGAAUUGCAUUCGAUACUGGGAAGCUAGAGUAUGGGAGAGGAUGGUAGAAUUCCAGGUGUAGCGGUGAAAUGCGUAGAGAUCUGGAGGAAUACCGAUGGCGAAGGCAGCCAUCUGGCCUAAUACUGACGCUGAGGUACGAAAGCAUGGGGAGCAAACAGGAUUAGAUACCCCUGUAGUCCCUGUCUCUUAUAC
rnacentral:rRNA from 1 species